GAAGUGUGGACGCCAGUCUGCAUGGAGCCGACCUUGAAAUACCACCCUUUAAUGUUUGAUGUUCUAACGUUGACCCGUAAUCCGGGUUGCGGACAGUGUCUGGUGGGUAGUUUGACUGGGGCGGUCUCCUCCUAAAGAGUAACGGAGGAGCACGAAGGUUGGCUAAUCCUGGUCGGACAUCAGGAGGUUAGUGCAAUGGCAUAAGCCAGCUUGACUGCGAGCGUGACGGCGCGAGCAGGUGCGAAAGCAGGUCAUAGUGAUCCGGUGGUUCUGAAUGGAAGGGCCAUCGCUCAACGGAUAAAAGGUACUCCGGGGAUAACAGGCUGAUACCGCCCAAGAGUUCAUAUCGACGGCGGUGUUUGGCACCUCGAUGUCGGCUCAUCACAUCCUGGGGCUGAAGUAGGUCCCAAGGGUAUGGCUGUUCGCCAUUUAAAGUGGUACGCGAGCUGGGUUUAGAACGUCGUGAGACAGUUCGGUCCCUAUCUGCCGUGGGCGCUGGAGAACUGAGGGGGGCUGCUCCUAGUACGAGAGGACCGGAGUGGACGC
rnacentral:rRNA from 1 species